UACGUAGGGGGCAAGCGUUGUCCGGAUUUAUUGGGCGUAAAGAGCGUGUAGGCGGCCUUACAGGUCAGCUGUGAAAACUCGAGGCUCAACCUCGAGACGCCGAUGGAAACCAUCUGGCUAGAGUCCGGAAGAGGAGAGUGGAAUUCCCGGUGUAGCGGUGAAAUGCGCAGAUAUCGGGAAGAACACCCGUGGCUAAGGCGGCUCUCUAGUACGGUACUGACGCUGAGACGCGAAAGCGUGGGGAGCGAACAGG
rnacentral:rRNA from 1 species